UGGUCACCUGAGAAUGAGAGCUGUGCUUGUGUGUUGGGCAGAAGCGUCUCUAGUUGCUCUGUUGGAUAUUCCAUGAGGAGAGGAAGGAAUCUCCUUCAACUCUGCAUAUGGAUAUUCUGAAGCAUAAAAUGGAAUAAAGGGGAAGGAGGACAUUUGCCACUGUUACUCCUCUCGCUGAUGUGCUCCUGGAGGGACUGCAUACCCAGACUGGUGUGGAGGCGGAAGUGUGUUAAGUUGCAGGGGAGCACGAGGGGAAGAAGCAGCUGGACCACAGAUUCCAGUCUGGAAGGGUUGGGAGGAGGGAGAAGACUGUAUGCAUGGCUCAGACUCUCUGUGUUGGCUUUUGGUUGUCCAUGUUCUGAACCCAGCCAGUGGACCGCCUCUGCCACAGGAAUGAGUUUGUGUGAUCAAGCCCUUGCUCCACUGUCUGAGGGGCAGACAGCUUCAAAACUUGCUUGCAAACCCCUUGGUGACUGCAGUAACUGCAAUCAGUUCUCAAUCUUAAGCCCUGAGGACCUGACCAAGACAAACUAAGACAGAACUAUAAGCACAACUACACAGUUAAAGGUUCUGCCUCCUAUCUUUGUCACUGGCCAGUAACAAAUACUUAGAGAAAGUAUUCAAGUAGAAAAACCGUAUUCAAGGAGUUUCUGCUUCUGGUCAUUUGUGUUCAAUUGUUUCUCUCUGAAUCUUUCUCAUUCCUGUAUGAACUUGAUUACAAUACACCAUAUUCUGUGGCAAUGAGUUGUAUAAUUUAAUUAUAGCAUUGUCUGUGUUUCUUUGGGGUGGACAACUUUUUGUUUAUUCUGAAGUGAUCACCUGGUAACUUUGUUAGGUGAUUCUAAAUUUUGUGUUGUAAAAAACAGUGGGUAGCCUUUAUUUUUUUUCAUCUUCACGCCAACUGUGAUGGUAUAGGUGUGUAUUCUACUUUCUGCCCAGUGGUUUCUUUCAUAAGUUGAAGA
rnacentral:lncRNA from 1 species